UCUCCACUUCUCACAUCUGGAACAAGACCUUGGUAAUAGUGGAAGAAGACUUCUUCCACUAUUACCAAGGUCUUGUUCCAGAUGUGAGAAGUGGAAG